GCCCCUAUCGUCUAGAGGCCUAGGACAUGGGAUUUUCAUUCCCAGAACAUGGGUUCGAAUCCCGUUGGGGGUA
rnacentral:tRNA from 6 species